rnacentral:rRNA from 1 species
UAGGGGGCGAGCGUUAUCCGGAUUUAUUGGGCGUAAAGGGUGUGUAGGCGGUUUGUUAAGUCUAAAAUCAAAGCCCGAGGCUUAACCUCGGUUCGUUUUAGAAACUGGCAAACUAGAGUGCAGUAGAGGCAAGUGGAAUUUCUAGUGUAGCGGUUAAAUGCGUAGAUAUUAGAAGGAACACCAGUGGCGAAGGCGGCUUGCUGGGCUGUAACUGACGCUGAGACACGAAAGCGUGGGGAGCAAA